GACAGAGGAUGCAAGCGUUAUCCGGAAUGAUUGGGCGUAAAGCGUCUGUAGGUGGCUUUUUAAGUUCGCCGUCAAAUCCCAGGGCUCAACCCUGGACAGGUGGUGGAAACUACCAAGCUAGAGUACGGUAGGGGCAGAGGGAAUUUCCGGUGGAGCGAUGAAAUGCGUAGAGAUCCGGAAGAACACCGGUGGCGAAGGCGGCCUGCUGGGCAGUUGCUGACACUGAGGCGCGACAGCGUGGGGAGCAAACAGG
rnacentral:rRNA from 1 species